CUCUCGGAACAGGCGUAUUUUUUGCGUAUUUUAUGAAGCAGCAAAGAUACGCAUGGGCUGAGGG
rnacentral:pre_miRNA from 1 species